rnacentral:rRNA from 1 species
GACGAACGCUGGCGGCGUGCUUAACACAUGCAAGUCGAACGGAAAGGCCCUGCUUGCAUGGUACUCUCGUGGCGAACGGGUGUGUAACACGUGGGUGAUCUGCCCUGCACUUCGGGAUAAGCCUUGGAAACUGUGUCUCAUACCGGAUAGGAGCCCUUUUUAGUGUGAUGGUUGGAAAGUUUUUUCGGUGUAGGAUGAGCUCGCGGCCUAUCAGCUUGUUGGUGGGGUAAUGGCCUACCAAGGCGGCGACGGGUAGCCGGCCUGAGAGGGUGGACGGCCACAUUGGGACUGAGAUACGGCCCAGACUCCUACGGGAGGCAGCAGUGGGGAAUAUUGCACAAUGGGCGGAAGCCUGAUGCAGCGACGCCGCGUGGGGGAUGACGGCCUUCGGGUUGUAAACUCCUUUCGCUAGGGACGAAGCGUGUGUGACGGUAACUAGAUAAGAAGCACCGGCUAACUACGUG